rnacentral:rRNA from 1 species
GACGAACGCUUGCGGCGUGCCUAAGAAAUGCAAGUCGAGCGGGAAUGCUUUGCAUUGGGUUGAUGGUGUAUGGUUGAUUGUUGAUGGUAACGGCAAAGACCGGUUUUCACCAUCAACCAUCAACAAUCAACUAUCACCAAUCAACCGAAUGCAGAGCAUUCUAGCGGCGAACGGUCGCGUAACACGUAAGCAACCUGCCCCGAAGACCGGGACAACUCCGCGAAAGCGGGGCUAAUACCGGAUGUGGCCACCGAUAUGCAUGUAUUGGUGAUUAAACCAGGAACUGGCUUUGGGAGGGGCUUGCGGCCUAUCAGCUAGUUGGUGGGGUAACG